rnacentral:rRNA from 1 species
CCUACGGGUGGCAGCAGUGAGGAAUAUUGGUCAAUGGGCGGAAGCCUGAACCAGCCAAGUAGCGUGCAGGAUGACGGCCCUACGGGUUGUAAACUGCUUUUAUACGGGAAUAACGCGCCUUACGUGUAGGGCUUUGCAUGUACCGUCUGAAUAAGGUCCGGCUACUUCCUUGCCAGCAGCGGCGGUAAUACGGAAGGUCCGGGCGUUAUCCGGAUUUAUGGGGUUUAAGGGGAGCGUAGGUCGCAUGUCACGCGUGCUGUGAAAUGUCCGGGCUCACCCCGGGCCUUGCAGCGCGAACUGGCGUGCUUGAGUCCGCGGAAAGCAGGCGGAAUGCGUCGUGUAGCGGUGAAAUGCUUAGAUAUGACGAAGAACCCCGAUUGCGAAGGCAGCUUGCUGCAGCGGAACUGACGCUGAUGCUCGAAAGCGCGGGUAUCGAACAGGAUUAGAUACCCCGGGUAGUC